GACGAACGCUGGCGGCGUGCCUAAUACAUGCAAGUUGAGCGCUGAAGGUUGGUACUUGUACCAACUGGAUGAGCAGCGAACGGGUGAGUAACGCGUGGGGAAUCUGCCUUUGAGCGGGGGACAACAUUUGGAAACGAAUGCUAAUACCGCAUAAAAACUUUAAACACAAGUUUUAAGUUUGAAAGAUGCAAUUGCAUCACUCAAAGAUGAUCCCGCGUUGUAUUAGCUAGUUGGUGAGGUAAAGGCUCACCAAGGCGAUGAUACAUAGCCGACCUGAGAGGGUGAUCGGCCAAAUUGGGACUGAGACACGGCCCAAACUCCUACGGGAGGCAGCAGUAGGGAAUCUUCGGAAAUGGACGAAAGUCUGACCGAGCAACGCCGCGUGAGUGAAGAAGGUUUUCGGAUCGUAAAACUCUGUUGGUAGAGAAGAAAGUUGGUGAGAGUGGAAAGCUCAUCAAGUGACGGUAACUACACAGAAAGGGACGGCUAACUACGUG
rnacentral:rRNA from 1 species